CAAAUACAGCAGAUCACUCAAGGGAUGCUGAAACAUUAUUUGGUAUUCAAACAAUUCUGGAAAAAUGCAAAUACAGCAGAUCACUCAAGGGAUGCUGAAACAUUAUUUGGUAUUCAAACAACUCUGGAAAAGUAUGAUCAUCCAAUUUUGAAAAUGAACUAAAAGAUACUGAUUAUAAAGAAUUUAUGCAAUAUGCAAAUACAGCAGAUCACUCAAGGGAUGCUGAAACAUUAUUUGGUAUUCAAACAACUCUGGAAAAGUAUGAACAUCCAAUUUUGAAAAUGAACUAACGAAUACUGAUUAUAAUGAAUUUAUGCAAAUUACAUAUUGCAAUACAGCAGACAAUGAAAGCCAUGGUGAGACAUGAAUUCGCGAUUCUAUCAGUUUGGAAAAUAUAAACAUCUUAUGAUGAAAAUGGACUAGAAGAUACUGAUAAUAAUAAUUGUUUUAUUCAACGUACGUGUAGAGCUUAUAAUAGAAUAUAAUUUAUAGAAAAUUAAUAGUUAUGUAACAAAAUGUUAAUGU